CAGGCGGGAAUUCCGGGAAUCUUGGGAAUUCCGGGAAUCCUGGGAAUUCCGGGAAUCCGGUGGGAAUUGGGCGGGAAUUGCAGGAAUCAGUCAGGAAUUCCGGGAAUCUUGGGAAUUCCGGGAAUUCCGGACCCAACCCGCGGAAUUUCCAGGGAAAAAUCUCCAUUUUUCCCGUUUUUUUCCCCGGGAGCGGCCGCUGGGCGGGAAAAGCCGCGGGAAUUGUCCGGAAAAGGGGAUUUAGGGAAUUUCUGAUCCGUGAAAUUGUUGAUUUUUCCGUGGAUUUCUGGUGGUGUCGGCCCAGAACUCGCAGGUGACGGAGGCCUGGAAUAAAAUCGCCCACGCCUUCCACUGCACCCCCAUCGAAGGGAUGCUGUCACACCAGCUGAAGCAGCACGUGAUCGACGGGGAGAAAACCAUCAUCCAAAACCCCUCGGACCAGCAGAA